UACGUAGGGGGCUAGCGUUGUCCGGAAUCAUUGGGCGUAAAGAGCGUGUAGGCGGCUCGGUAAGUCCGCUGUGAAAGUCGGGGGCUCAACCCUCGAAUGCCGGUGGAUACUGUCGAGCUAGAGUGCGGAAGAGGCGAGUGGAAUUCCUGGUGUAGCGGUGAAAUGCGCAGAUAUCAGGAGGAACACCGAUUGCGAAGGCGGCUCUUUGGUCUGUGAACUGACGCUGGAGGCGCGAAAGCGUGGGGAGCGAACAGG
rnacentral:rRNA from 1 species